CCCCCGCCGCCCCCCCCAACGUCGUAAUGCACCCCUUUUCCCCGUUAGGUGAACCUGCGGAAGGAUCAUUACCGAGUGCGGGCCCUCGCGGCCCAACCUCCCACGCCUUGUCUCUCUAUACCUGUUGCUUUGGCGGGCCCACCGUGGCUAGGUCGCCGGGGGACGAACGUCUCCGGGCCCGCGCCCGCCGAAGCGCUCUGUGAACCCUGAUGAAGAUGGGCUGUCUGAGUAGUAUGAAAAUUGUCAAAACUUUCAACAAUGGAUCUCUUGGUUCCGGCAUCGAUGAAGAACGCAGCGAAAUGCGAUAAGUAAUGUGAAUUGCAGAAUUCCGUGAAUCAUCGAAUCUUUGAACGCACAUUGCGCCCCCCUGGCAUUCCGGGGGGCAUGCCUGUCCGAGCGUCAUUUCUGCCCUCAAGCACGGCUUGUGUGUUGGGUGUGGUCCCCCCGGGGACCUGCCCGAAAGGCAGCGGCGACGUCCGUCUGGUCCUCGAGCGUAUGGGGCUCUGUCACUCGCUCGGGAAGGACCUGCGGGGGUUGUCACCACCACAUUUACCACGGUGACCUCGAUCAGUAAGAUACCCGCUGA
rnacentral:rRNA from 1 species